rnacentral:rRNA from 1 species
UACGAAGGGGGCUAGCGUUGCUCGGAAUCACUGGGCGUAAAGCGCACGUAGGCGGCUUCUUAAGUCAGGGGUGAAUCCUGGAGCUCAACUCCAGAACUGCCUUUGAUACUGAGUAGCUUGAGUCCGGGAGAGGUGAGUGGAACUGCGAGUGUAGAGGUGAAAUUCGUAGAUAUUCGCAAGAACACCAGUGGCGAAGGCGGCUCACUGGCCCGGUACUGACGCUGAGGUGCGAAAGCGUGGGA